AUUGAACGCUGGCGGCAGGCCUAACACAUGCACGUCGAGCGAGCGGCGGACGGGUGAGUAAUGUCCGGGAAACUGCCUGUUGGAGGGGGAUAACUACUGGAAACGGUAGCUAAUACCGCAUACCAUCAGAUGUGCCCAGAUGGGAUUAGCUAGUAGGUGGGGUAAUGGCUCACCUAGGCGACGAUCCCUAGCUGGUCUGCGAGGGUGACCAGCAACACUGGAACUGAGACACGGUCCAGACUCCUACGGGAGUAAGCAGUGGGGAAUAUUGCACAAGGGGCGCAAGCCUGAUGCAGCCAUGCCGCGUGAGUGAAGAAGGCCUUCGGGUUGUAAAGCACUUUCAGCGGGGAGGCGUUACCCGCAGAAGAAGCACCGGCUAACUCCGUGCCAGCAGCCGCGGUAAUUC
rnacentral:rRNA from 1 species